AUGGCCAGAUGGGAGCAGAGGGGAGAAAAGGGGGGAGGAACUUUCACGUGUCGGAUGGACCCAGCCCAGGGAUGGGCGAGCGGCACCCUCGGGGUCCCUCCCUCGCCUCAUCCCGACCGCAUCCCGCAGGAAAAACACCGGGAUCGCUCCCAGUCCCCCCAGGAACCCCCCGGGACCCCCCUGACCCCCGCGUUCGGCCCCCACCUCCGCGUUCUGACAGAUCCCGGCGCGUUCCAGGAGCGUGAGGUCAGCGCGCCGGGGAAAAAGGACCGCGGGGCCAUCCAUCCAUCAUCCAUCAUCAUCAUCCCUCACCCCUCAGCCCGCGAUCAAAGCGCCCCGCGGGCUCCCCUUCCCACCCGGUCCCGGCUCCCGCGGCUCCCGCGGCGCGAGCGCUCCGCGUUCUUGGCCGUCCCGCAGCUGUUUCCACUCGAGGCCGCCGUAAGUGGAAAAACCUGCGGCUCUCGAGGCGCUUCCCGGCCUCCGGGGGCAGCGGCUAUUCCCGGCUCCCUUUCAUCUUCCCCAUUUAUCAGCGUUAUCCUCUUUUUUUUUUUUUUUUUCUUCGCACGGGAUGAAACGGGGAAUAUUUUUGUCCUCCAGAACAAAGAAAAGGAGCUUGGAAAGCAAAUCCCAAAAGAAAGCAACCCAAAACCUUUUGAGAACACCAAACAUUUCCCCAGGACUGCCAAGGCCACCCUGACCAUGUCCCCAAGUGCCACCUCCGCUCUUCAAUCCCCCCAGGAAUGGGGACCCCCACCCCUGCCCUGGGCUGGAGGGUCUUGCCCAGGAGGAAUUUUCCCAAUAUCAAACCUAAACCUUCGGUGGCACCACUCGAGGCUGUUUCCUGCUGUGCUGCCCCUUGUCCCCCGCAAAGAGAUUCCCCCAAAACCCCCCCAAAAUCCUCCUGGGGGUGAUGGAUGUGAGGGGCUGAGGGGAAACCAGGAAGGGAUGUGUCCAGAGGGGUCAGGAAUUGGUGGGAAUCAGGAAUUCAAAUCUCCCAUCCAGUGA
rnacentral:lncRNA from 1 species